GGGCACGUAGCUCAGCCCGGAUAGAGCGUUCGGCUUCUAACCGAACGGCCGGGGGUUCAAAUCCCUCCGUGCCCG
rnacentral:tRNA from 1 species